rnacentral:rRNA from 1 species
UCAAAACGACUCUCGGCAACGGAUAUCUUGGUUCUCGCAUCGAUGAAGAACGUAGCGAAAUGCGAUACUUGGUGUGAAUUGCAGAAUCCCGUGAACCAUCGAGUCUUUGAACGCAAGUUGCGCCCGACGCCUUCGGGCUGAGGGCACGCCUGCCUGGGCGUC